UUCAGAAAGCUCAGUCGGUGGAGCAUGGGACUGUUAAUCUCAGGGUCAUGGGUUUGAGCCCCACAUCGGGCAAAG
rnacentral:tRNA from 1 species